rnacentral:lncRNA from 1 species
CAGAAUCUUGAGAAAUUUGUACUUGAAUUAUUGUUAUGGUCCAUUAAACUCACUCUAAAAACUUUAAUAUGUUUCUGCUUCAGAGACUUGUUUGUCCAUGUACAGCCAUGUAACCACACUAUUUACAAUGCCCAAAGAGCAAAUUGUUUGAUUCAGCUGCAGCAAUGGUCUUUCCACAGAGAAAGUUUGCAGUUUUCAACAGCCCUAAGUGCUGCAUUCUCCUAACUGAGCUCCACAGAACUUUUUCUCCAAGUGUGUCACCGAGAAAUAGUCCUGAAAGCAGAAUACCCCAACUGGCACAAGAGAACCACUGAUUUGCUUCCUGUCACCACAGAUCGUGCACACUGAGGAAGACAGACAACAAAUAACUCUGCGGAUAGAUCAACAUAGUGAGGAACUGAGUUCUCCAAACAGCAGCUACAUGAGUGAGCCAUUCUGCAAAUGAAUCAUAAGCCCAGGCAAGCCUUUAUGUGACAACUGUUUGAAGAUAACCAUACAUAAAGACUUGAUCCAAAACCAUUCAACUAAAUCACUCCAGAUUCUUGACCCACCAAAAAAAAUGUGAGAUAAGUGUUUUGUUUUGUUCGAGUUGUUUUUUAUUUCUUUAAUUUUGGUAAUAUAUAUAUAACAAAAUUCACCAUUUUAGCCAUUUUUAAGUGUAUAAUUUAAUUGGCAUCUAGUACCCUGAUAUUUUUUUACUGCCAUCACCACCACCCAUCAAAAGAACUCUUUUCUUUUUAAUUUGAAAAGUAUUACUGUUAAUUUUACAUCAAAUGAUUCAUAAAAUUUACCAGUGCAGUCAUCUACUCCGGGCUUUUUUAUUUUUUUCCUUGAGAAGGUUUUGAUUACACAUUUAAUAUCUUUACUAAUUACAGGUUUAUUCAGAUUUUCUAUUUCUUCAUGACUUAUUCUUAGUAGAUUGCAUGUUUCUACAAAUUUGUCCAUUUCAUUAAGAUUAUCCAAUUUGUUGGCAUACAAUUGCUGGUAGUACUUUCUUAUAAUCCUUUUCAUUGAUGUAAAAUAAGUAGUAAUAUUCCCUCUUUUAUUUCUAAUUUUAGUUAUUUGAAUCUUCUUUUCUUCCCUUAGUUUGUUUAGCUAACGGUUGUCAACAUUCUUGCUCUUUUCAAAGAACCAGUUAUUGGUUUUGUUGAAUUUCUCUAUUGUUUUUCUACUAUCUAUUUUGUUUAUUUCUGUUGUAAUAUUUAUUAUUUUCUUACUUCUAGAUUUGGGUUUUGUUUGUUCUUCUUUUUCUAGUUCCUUGAGAUGUAAAUUUAGAUGGUUGAUUUGAGAUAUUUCUUCCUUCUUAUAAAUAUUUAUAGCUACAAACUUCCCUUUAACACUGCUUUUACUGCCUCCCACAAGUUGUUAUCUAAUGCAUUUUUAUCUUCAUUACUCUUGAGAUAUUUUUUCCAAUUUCCUCUGUGACUCCUUCUUUUUCCCAUUGGUGGUUUGAGUGUAUUGUUUAAUUUACACAUAUUUUUGUGAUUUCCUGUUUUCUUUUUGCCAUUGAUUUCUACCUUCAAUUCAUUGUGAUCAGAAAAUAUAAUUUGUAUGAUUUUAAUCAUUCUAAAUUUAUUAAGUUUUGCUUAUUACCUAAUAUAUGGUCUAUCCUAGAGAAAAUUCCAUAUGCACUUGAGAAAAAUGUGUAUUCUCCUAUUGUUGGGCAGUGUUCUAUAUAUGACUGUUAAGUCACAUUGGUGUAUACAGUUGUUCAAGUCCUGUGUUUCUCUGAUCUGGCUGGCUGUUCUAUCCAUUAUUGAAAGUGGAAAAUUCAAGUCUCCUACUAUUAUUGUGGAGCUUUCUAUUUCUCUUUUUAAUUCUGUCAGUGUUUGCUUCAACUGUUUAGUAGCUCUGAUGUUUGCUGCAUAUAUCUUUAUAAUUAUUACAUCUUCUUGGUGAUCUGACUCUUUUAUCACUAUAUAAUGUCCUUCUUUUAACCUUUAACAAUUUUUUACUUAAAAUAUAUUUUGUCUGAUAUUAAUAUAGCCAUGUUUGUUCUAUUUCAACUACUAUAUGCAUGGAAUAGCUUUCAUUUUCAAUCUAUGCAUGUCCUUAGAACUAAAGUGUGUCUCUUACAGAAAGCAUAUAGUUGGAUUUUAUUUUUUAAUACAAUCCACUAAUAUAUGUCUUUUGAUGGGGAGGAGGUUGUCCACAAGUGUUUGUUUUGUUUUGUUUUGAACCACUGUAUUUUGGAGUAAUCACAGCAAUAGAAAACUAACACAAUACCUGUAGAUUAGUUAACAGUAUCAUAUCAAUGUUAAUUUCCUGAUUUUUAUAAUUAUACUAUGGUUAUGAAAAACACAUUAUUAGUUUAAGGGAAAUCAUAUGAAUGUAUCUUCAGGGUUAAGAGAUAUAAUGCCUCAAAUUUUCCCUAAAUGUUUCAUAAAGACAGCAAGAUGACAAUGCAAUGUGGUAAAAUGUUAACUGCUGGCAAAAGAGGGUGAAAGUAAAUUAAAUUCUUUGUUACUAUUAUUGCAACUUUGCUUUAGGUCUAAAAUUAUGCUACAAUUUUAAAGAUUAAAUAAAACUUAAUUUGGAGACUACAAAUUAAGGACAUAUUAGAAUCCACAGUGGAAAUAUAGCACUGACACUAACUUUUAGCUUCUCUGGGUUUCCAGAAGAAAAGAAGACUGAAAAAUGAAUAGAGGUAAUAUACAGAUAGACACUCACUGAAUAUUUUACAGAAUUGAGGAAAGAUAUUAAUAUGAAGAUUAAGUAACCUAAAAUUCAAAAAAUUUAAAUUAAAGGAAAUUAAUGCCUGGACGUAUAGUACAAAUGCAUGACACUAAAGCCAAUGAAAAAAUAUUAAAUAUUGCAGGAGGAAAGAUUACCUUCUUCAAAGACAGCAAUAGCUUGACAGCUGACUUAUAUACUUUUUUUUCCUUUUUUAUCUUUUUUUUUUUCUUUGAGACAAAAUCUCACUCAGGCUGGAGUGCAAUGACACAAUCAUAGCUAAAUGCAGCCUUGAACUCCUGGGAUCAAGUCAUCUUCCCAACUCAGCCUGUCGAGUAACUGGGACUAUAGGUGCAUGCAACCACAGCCAGCAAUUUUUUUGUAUUUUUUGUAGAUACAAGGUUUUGCCAUGUUGCCCAGGCUGAUCUUAAACUCCUGGGCUCAAGCAAUCCACCUGCCUCAGCCUGCCAAACUGCUGGGAUUACAGGCAUGAGCCACCAUGCUUGGCCAAUGGCUGACUUCUGAAUUGCAAAGAUGAUGACCAGAGUCCAGUGUCGUAAUAGGUUGAAUGUAACAAAAUAAAAUAACUGGUAACUUACAAUCAUAUACUUAAAAAAAUGGCUUUCAAUGAGGAGAAUAAAAUAAAGACCUUCAUAGACAAACAAAAAUUGAGCUUUUGCUACCAACAGAUAAUUACAAAGGGACAUCUUAAAUGUUCUGCAGGAGGAAGUAAAUAAUCCUGGAAGAAAAAUGUCAGAUAGAAAAAGGAAUAAUGAGCAACGUCAGUGACCAAUAUGCUUAUUCAUGUAUAUUAAACAAAAAUGAAGUUGUCAUCGGGAUUAAAAACUGUAAUGGAACAAAAAUAUAUAAAAAUUGCAUGUAAAAUAAUUGUAGUUAAGUUAUUUUGAGCACCUAUAUUAUUGUGAAAGUGAAUAAAGAUUAAAACUGACACUUUGAUGAGUUUAUGCAUCAUAACUGUUCUAGUGUUUAUAUUAGAAAUUAAAAUAUGGUUAUUAAUUUUACCAUAUUAAUAAAACAUGGUUAUUAAUAACAGAAACAUGAAUGAGAAUAAUUAAUUCAAAAUAUCUAAGAAAUACACAAAGAUAAAAGGGAUUAGAUAAAUAAAAAACAAAAAUAACAGUGAAGACAUAAUAAAAAUAUGGUAGCAUUUGUAAUAAAUGUAAAUAGACUAAUUACCUCAGCUAAAAUACAAAAUUCAAAGCUGUGGCUGAGUGGCAGAGAAGCAGUAUGGUUCCAUUAAUGUACAUUUCAAAAAUUUAUAAUUUAUAUAUCUCACAGUAAACAUAUACUGGUAAAAAUGUAGCCUAAAAUCAUAAUAAAAAGCAAAAUAAUGAUAAUAAAAUUCAAAAGAAAAGUUAUCUCUGAGAAGUCAGAGAAAGGGAUUGGAUUAAGGAAGAACAUACUUGCUAAUUCAGGAUAUGUUAAUUUUUUUUCCUUACACUAGAUUCUAGGCAUAAUGGUUAUGCAUUGUAUACUUUCACCUACCCAUCAUAUAUUUUAAAAUGUUUGUUUCCCUCCAUAGUCAAUAAAACCAAUAAAAAAGAGGUAGCAUCAAAAAUAAAAGAUUUUAGAUGAAUAUAGAAUGUAUUGUAUCUCUGGUCUGAUGCUACCUUUUCUGUCAUCUUGAGAAGGAGAGCUGUCUUUGAUUGAUGAACCAGACUGAAUGAAUACAGCACUGCAAAAACUAAACCUGGGGCAAAUCUAGAUGACCAUUAACCUCUGCCAGGUAGUUAAAUGUUGUAGACUGCAAAAAUGUCCCAAUUUCUCACCACUGCCUUUAUAGUGUGACCUUGCAACUACCUCUAUCCAGAGGUGGAGUCUAUUUGUCUAUGUCUUGUUUCUGGGAUGGGCUUGUAACCUGCUUUGACCAAUAAGAUGCAGAAAAAUAUAUAUAUAUAUAUGCUGGGUCAGUUCUGAGCACUGGUCUCAAGAAAUUGUAAAUACUAUUCUUUGUCUUGAAAUCCUGCUAUCCAUUCUGUGAAUUUGUCUAAGCUACCCCAUUGUAUGAUGAGAGAUAUGUGACCCAGUCACUCCUGUUGUAUCUGUCAGAAAGUUGAAAAUAGGUGAAUGAGGCCAUCCUGGAGUAGCCAGCCUUGGCCUGCCCUACAGUUGACUUCAUGUGAGUAAGUGAGCUCAGGUACAAUACUGAAUCUAGGAUCAUCAAAACUGCCUGCCCAUUGACCGGCCCAUUGACAAUAAAUGAUUGUUGUAUUAAGCAUGUAAGUUUGGGGGUUAAUCAAAGCAGAUAUUAAUCAGAAAUAAAUGGAUUCUACAACUUUAUAAGCAC